GCCGGAGUGGCGGAAUGGCAGACGCGACGGAUUCAAAAUCCGUUUCUCGCAAGAGAGUGUGGGUUCAAGUCCCUCCUCCGGCA
rnacentral:tRNA from 1 species